rnacentral:rRNA from 1 species
GUGGGGAAUAUUGGACAAUGGGCGAAAGCCUGAUCCAGCCAUGCCGCGUGUGUGAAGAAGGUCUUCGGAUUGUAAAGCACUUUAAGUUGGGAGGAAGGGCAGUAAGUUAAUACCUUGCUGUUUUGACGUUACCGACAGAAUAAGCACCGGCUAACUUCGUGCCAGCAGCCGCGGUAAUACGAAGGGUGCAAGCGUUAAUCGGAAUUACUGGGCGUAAAGCGCGCGUAGGUGGUUUUGUAAGUUGGAGGUGAAAUCCCCGGGCUCAACCUGGGAACGGCCUCCAAAACUGCAUGACUAGAGUACGGUAGAAGGUAGUGGAAUUUCCUGUGUAGCGGUGAAAUGCGUAGAUAUAGGAAGGAACACCAGUGGCGAAGGCGACUACCUGGACUGAUACUGACACUGAGGUGCGAAAGCGUGGGGAGCAAACAGGAUUAGAAACCCUAGUAGUCC